rnacentral:snRNA from 1 species
AUUGCUUCUCGGCCUUUUAGCUGAGAUCACAGUUUAGUUUCUGUUCUUUUCGAAUUAACCUUCGAUAGACAUUCGAACGAAUCUCGUUAACUUUAAUGAAGCUGAGAUAUUGGGAAAACUCU